AGCAGUCGCCGCGGGAAUACGGAGGGUGCAAGCGUUAUCCGGAUUUAUUGGGUUUAAAGGGUCCGUAGGCGGACUUAUAAGUCAGUGGUGAAAGCCUGUCGCUUAACGAUAGAACUGCCAUUGAUACUGUAAGUCUUGAGUAUAUUUGAGGUAGCUGGAAUAAGUAGUGUAGCGGUGAAAUGCAUAGAUAUUACUUAGAACACCAAUUGCGAAGGCAGGUUACCAAGAUAUAACUGACGCUGAGGGACGAAAGCGUGGGUAGCGAACAGGAUUAGAUACCCGCGUAGUCCCUGUCUCUUAUAC
rnacentral:rRNA from 1 species